GGUGCUGUGCAAGCAGGGUGCUGGAAUUUUUAAAUAUAUAUUUUUCUUGUCGUGGAGUAUCUACGUUUUUUUAUACAGUGCCUGAGGAACUUGUGCUCUUCUAUAAAUACAUAGGAUGUAUUUGUAUCCUAUUGUGCACCAAGCUUUUUUAGUUCAGAGAAGGUUUAAGGAGUUCAACAAUGGCAAAGCAUUGUGGUUCAGGAGGGCAGUGUGUGUGGUGGGGUGAGAAGUAUAUGAAGGAGUGUGUGUGUGGAGUAAGAGAUUAUUUGUCUGUUGGUUUUGGGCUCAUCAGUUUGCUGAGCUGGGCAGUUGCAGAAGUGCCUCAGAUUAUUACCAACUUUAAGAAUGGAUCCACAGAGGGUGUUUCCCUGGGCUUUCUCAUGACAUGGGUUGUAGGGGACAUAUUCAAUCUUAUUGGAUGUUGGCUGGAGCCAGCAACUCUAGCCACACAAUUCUAUACGGCACUGCUGUAUACAAUCACCACAAUAAUCUUAGUUUGCCAGAUCAUAUAUUAUGAUCACUUCUCCAACUGGUGGAAAGUGAGGAAAGCUAAGAUUCAAACUAAGCAAAUCUCGAAAUGUGAGCAAAAUGAUUAUAAAGGUGCCAGAGAGCAUAAAGUGUGCAUCUGAAAUGGCCAAGGAAACCAGUGCAGACUCCAAUAUUAAAUCCUUUUAUGGGACUAUAAUGCCCAGUUUACCUAAUAUUAUACCCACCAUUUCUUCUGUGCAGAAACCCAAUACUGGGAAGGAUCUAUAUUACACGUCUGCAAGAUCUCUAGCUAGCAGUUACACUCCUACUCCUGGUUCGUAUCUGCUACACUCUCGUGGGUCUUGUAAAAGCGGCACAAACUAUAUGUUAGAUGAGUCAUCAGAAGAGGAGGGAGAACUGUUCACUAGACUUAUAUCUCCAAGUUCUAAGAAUUCCAAUACCAUUAUUCGCUCUGUAGCUUCAACAAUAUUCUUUGUUGGUGGGCUGAACUUUUUAAAAUUGCCUACUUAUAAGAGCAUUUUCUCAACCUCUUACCCUGUUCAAAUAGAAAGGAGAUCUGUUUUUAGAAUAACUGGAAGAAAACUUUUACAGGGAAUGGGUGGUGUUGCAUUCAGUAGAUCAGUGAUGCAAGGUGACUCAUCAAGCCAACUAGGAACUUGGUUGGGAUGGAUUAUGGCUGCAAUUUAUAUGGGUGGACGGCUUCCACAAAUCCACUUAAAUAUUAAGAGAGGGACUGUUGAGGGUCUGAAUCCACUCAUGUUCAUAUUUGCUCUCAUUGGAAAUACAACCUAUGUGGGAAGUAUAAUUCUAAGAACUCUCGAGUGGGAGAAGCUUGAGCCAAAUAUGCCCUGGCUGGUUGACGCUGCAGCAUGUGUAUUAUUGGAUUUCUUUAUUCUUGUUCAGUUCAUCUAUUAUAAAGUACAAAGAAUAGAUGAAGAUGAAGAUGAAAAUGAAGAUUAUAAAGUGAUUAAAGAUUAGUGAUUCUAGGAUGAUGUAAUUAAAUGAUAAAUCUAUUUUUUUAUUAGAAGAUAUUUGAUAUUGAGUUGUAACUUUUUAUUGUAAUAGUUGACAUUGAAUUGAGCGAGGGGCCUGCUUUGAUUGGUGAUAACUUCUUGCCGUGGGCAUGAGAUCAUGAGGUCUAAUCUAUAAUUAUAGUUUUGAGUUUGACCUCUUUGUAUU